UACGAAGGGGGCUAGCGUUGUUCGGAAUUACUGGGCGUAAAGCAUGCGCAGGCGGCUUCUCAAGUCAGGGGUGAAAGCCCAGAGCUCAACUCUGGAAUUGCCUUUGAGACUGCGAGGCUUGAUCACGGGAGAGGUGAGUGGAAUUCCGAGUGUAGAGGUGAAAUUCGUAGAUAUUCGGAAGAACACCAGUGGCGAAGGCGGCAUCCUGGACCAACACUGACACUGAGGAGCGAAAGCGUGGGGAGCGAACAGG
rnacentral:rRNA from 1 species